rnacentral:rRNA from 1 species
GACGAACGCUGGUGGCGUGCCUAAUACAUGCAAGUCGAGCGAAGUUUUUCUGGUGCUUGCACUAGAAAAACUUAGCGGCGAACGGGUGAGUAACACGUAAAGAACCUGCCUCAUAGACUGGGACAACUAUUGGAAACGAUAGCUAAUACCGGAUAACAGUAUUUCUCGCAUGAGAGAUAUUUAAAAGUUGGUUAUGCUAACACUAUGAGAUGGCUUUGCGGUGCAUUAGCUAGUUGGUGGGGUAAAGGCCCACCAAGGCGACGAUGCAUAGCCGACCUGAGAGGGUGAUCGGCCACACUGGGACUGAGACACGGCCCAGACUCCUACGGGAGGCAGCAGUAGGGAAUCUUCCGCAAUGGGCGAAAGCCUGACGGAGCAACGCCGCGUGAGUGAAGAAGGAUUUCGGUUCGUAAAGCUCUGUUGUUAGGGAAGAAUGGAUAUGUAGUAACUAUACAUGUAAGAGACGGUACCUAACCAGAAAGCCACGGCUAACUACGUG